rnacentral:rRNA from 1 species
ACGGGUGAGUAACGCGUGGGAAUCUACCCUGAACUGCGGAAUAGCUCCGGGAAACUGGAAUUAAUACCGCAUGUGCCCUGAGGGGCAAAGAUUUAUCGGUUCAGGAUGAGCCCGCGUCCGAUUAGCUAGUUGGUGGGGUAAAGGCCUACCAAGGCGACGAUCGGUAGCUGGUCUAAGAGGAUGAUCAGCCACAUUGGGACUGAGACACGGCCCAAACUCCUACGGGAGGCAGCAGUGGGGAAUAUUGGACAAUGGGCGCAAGCCUGAUCCAGCCAUGCCGCGUGAGUGAUGAAGGCCCUAGGGUUGUAAAGCUCUUUCAGUGGGGACGAUAAUGACGGUACCCACAGAAGAAGCCCCGGCUAACUUCGUGCCAGCAGCCGCGGUAAUACGAAGGGGGCUAGCGUUGUUCGGAAUUACUGGGCGUAAAGCGCACGUAGGCGGACAUUUAAGUCAGGGGUGAAAUCCCGGGGCUCAACCCCGGAACUGCCUUUGAUACUGGGUGUCUUGAGUCCGGAAGAGGUGAGUGGAAUUGCGAGUGUAGAGGUGAAAUUCGUAGA